CAUGGAAACUGGGGGUGCCGAAAGGCUGAGAGGAUUAAUAUCCAACCCAUCGAACCUGUAUCUGGAUAAUACCAGCGGAGGGAAAGUUCACCGAUAUUAUA
rnacentral:ncRNA from 2 species